rnacentral:tRNA from 2 species
GGCGCUGUGGCUUAGUUGGUUGAAACCCCCUGUCUAGUAAACAGGAGGUCCUGGGUUCGAAUCUCAGCAGUGCCA